rnacentral:rRNA from 1 species
GAUGAACGCUAGCUACAGGCUUAACACAUGCAAGUCGAGGGGAAACGCCAUCGAAAGCUUGCUUUUGAUGGGCGUCGACCGGCGCACGGGUGAGUAACGCGUAUCCAACCUGCCCAUCACUUGGGAAUAACCUUGCGAAAGUAAGACUAAUACCCAAUGACAUCCCACGAAGACAUCCGAAUGGGAUUAAAGAUUUAUCGGUGAUGGAUGGGGAUGCGUCUGAUUAGCUUGUUGGCGGGGUAACGGCCCACCAAGGCAACGAUCAGUAGGGGUUCUGAGAGGAAGGUCCCCCACAUUGGAACUGAGACACGGUCCAAACUCCUACGGGAGGCAGCAGUGAGGAAUAUUGGUCAAUGGGCGAGAGCCUGAACCAGCCAAGUAGCGUGCAGGAUGACGGCCCUAUGGGUUGUAAACUGCUUUUAUAAGGGAAUAAAGUGGGUCUCGUGAGACUUUUUGCAUGUACCUUAUGAAUAAGGACCGGCUAAUUCCGUG